GGCAACCAUCAGUGCAGUGCAGGCAGGGCAGGGCAGCCGUACGGACGACUACGGUUGCGGAAUCUUCGAUCCUGAAGUAUUUGGUCCGAAUAUUCUGUGAACCUCAACACACUUGUGCAGGCCAACAGCUGGUGAGUGUGAAGUGUUGCGACAACUAACUGUGAGGACAACACUGCAAUACAGGGCAGUUUGUUUGUGGUGGCUGCUAAGCAGUGGCUGGCAAUCAAUAGUAAGAAGCAGAUCGACAAGAAUUAACUGGAAUUUGAGCUUCGGUGGUCGUUAGAGCCAGAAGAGUUGCCUACACACAGCAAUUACAACUGCCAAGCUACGUGAGACGUACAACGUGCUCAAUCCUCUUUAGUAGCGUCCAGCACUACGUGGCUACGUGGCACGUGAAGACUAACACUGAUGUGCAUACCAAACAAAGAUCACUCUCGGGUUACAAGGAACAACCAAGACCUCCAUGACAGCCUGCAACACUGUCCCGUGGUUACAAGAGAAGAAUGAAGGCUGUCAUGACAACCUGCAGCAUUCUCCCUGGGUGGGCAGUCACGUGCUCGGAUCUUAACUUUUAAAAUGUAAUAUUUAGAACACUUCCUCUCUUGAGUUUUGUCGUGAAGAAUAUGGAUGUUAUUGUCUUAGCUUCCUUGUGGGAAGAUAUAGGGUUUUUAUUAUUGUAAAAUAAUGACUAUGGAAGACUGUGAAUUAUAAACAACUUGAAUUGUGAGAGUAUGGAUUGUUCUUGAACGAUUCUUGCCAUGGAGUUGUUUGAACUGUCGGUACAACGUCGUGAUGGUCGCUGGAAAUGUUAUUGGAGAUGAUGGCUUCUUGGUUGUGUUGCGAACAGUUCCUGGCCGUCUGGCUACUGAAGACGAUGGAUUGUUACUUGUUCUGUGAGUGGUGCACACAGUGACAUUCUAGCCUCAACAUCAAGAACAUCUUCACGGAAGUCGGGGGGAGCACCGCCCUCUAUUGACCAGUCAUCUGCGCCAUAGACUGGCACUGAAGUUACCUGUCUACUCUCACCUGCACGGACAUGCACACUGUUGAUCGGGGCGCCUCCACUUGCAAUAUCACACUAGUACUAAAGUACCUGCUGAGAGAUCCUAUUUCUCCUGAUAUCAUCGCCACAAUGUUAUCAGCAAACUACGGCACAACGUUUGGUGAGCCACAACGAGCAGUAACAACCUCUUGUAUUCUCUAGGGCUUACUGGUGAAUUCUGCUGAAUUAAUUGUAUUUUCUCUCACUUGUUUAUCUACACUUUGCAUUCUGUCAGAUUCGUUUCGACAUGUACCCAGGCGUCUUUUGACGAGCAUGUUUUUAAUGUCAUCCUGUUUCUUUAACGCGAUUAUCCGGGGACUGGUUGAUUCGACCGUUUGCCGAUCCGACUACAACUAUAGUCGCUUUGACUUCAUCAUUGCCCAUCAUUCCACCAUCGACAUUCACUUCUUUAUCGGCAUCAGUAGACCUGCCAUGUCGGUCUUUGCCCGAAAGAUUCGACUCUGAACUAUUUUUGUCAUCAGUGGUCCAAUCGACUCCUGGUUGUGAUUAGCUCGCU